rnacentral:rRNA from 1 species
GGUUUAUGGGUAGCCGGCCUGAGAGGGUGAUUGGCCACACUGGGACUGAGACACUGCCCAGAUUCCUACGGGAGGCUGCAGUUGAGGAUCAUUGUCAAUGCGCGGAAGCGUGAACAUGCGACGCUGCGUGGAGGAUGAAGGCCCUCGGGUUGUAAACUCCUGUUAUGAGGGAAAAACCGCCUCGCAGUGAAUAGUUGCGGGGCCUGAUGGUACCUCAGGAGGAAGCCACGGCUAACUCUGUGCCAGCAGCUGCGGUAAUACAGAGGUGGCAAGCGUUGUUCGGAUUUACUGGGCGUAAAGCGUGCGUAGGCGGCGCCGUAUGUCGGAUGUGAAAUCCCAUGGCUUAAUUGUGGAAUUGCAUUCGAAACUGCGGUGCUUGAGUGCAGGAGGGGAGAGCGGAAUUCUUGGUGUAGCGGUGAAAUGCGUUGAUAUCAAGAAGAACAUUGGUGGUGAAGGCGGCUCUCUGGAAUGUUACUGACGCUGAGGCACGAAAGCUGGGGGAGUGAAUAGGAUCAGAUACCCUGGUAGUCCCAGCCGUAAACGGUGCGCACUUGGUGUGGGAGGUAUUGAUUCCUUCCGUGCCGGAGCUAACGCGUUAAGUGCGCCGCCUGGGGAGUACGGCCGCAAGGUUAAAACUCAAAGAAAUUGACGGGGGCCCGCACAAGCGGAGGAGCAUGUGGCUUAAUUCGAUGCAAUGCGAAGAACCUUACCAGGGUUUGACAUGUAGCUGCACGGCCGGUGAAAGUCGGUUUCCUUCGAGGGUGCUACACAGAUGCUGCAUGGCUGUCGUCAGUUCGUGCCGUGAGGUGUUGGGUUAAGUCCCGCAACGAACGCAACCCUUGUGGCUAGUUGCCACCGCAGGUGAUGAGCCUGCGAGCACUCUAGCCAGACUGCCUGUACAAGCAGGAGGAAGGUGGGGACGACGUCAAGUCAGUAUGGCCCUUACGUCCUGGGCUGCACACGUGCUACAAUGGUCGGUACAGAAGGAUGCGAUACCGCGAGGUGGAGCAAAUCCUGAAAGCUGGCCCCAGUUCGGAUUGGAGUCUGCAAUUUGACUCCAUGAAGUUGGAUUCGCUAGUAACGGCGCAUUAGUUAUGGCGCCGUGAAUACGUUCCCGGGCCUUGUACACACCGCCCGUCACAUCAUGAAAGCCGUCUGCACCCGAAGUCGCUGAGCCAACCAAUUUAUUGGAGGCAGGUGCCGAAGGUGUGGGUGGUGAUUGGGAUGAAGUCGUAACAAGGUA